CGGUGCUCCUGCCCGGGUCCGGUAUGCAGGAGGGACUCGGGAGUGGUGCUGGGGGAAUCCUGGCUGCAGUGGGCAGUGCCUUUUGUCCAGCUCAGUGCCGUGGCGGUCACUGGUGUGGGACGUGCCUAACUGCACAUGACAAGGAGACGUUCCGGCACCUCCGGUACCGGCUGCAUCCCCACUGCCCUUUCCUGUGUCCUGCUGGAGCUGGGAAGCACAGAGCUGGGAGAGCUGCAGCCCUGAGCCCAGCAGCGUAGGGACCACCCAGCGCUGUGCUCCCCGGCUGCCUGCACAGGGGAAGCAAGAACUGGGGCUGGGACCCCAUCCUGGCCCUGCAUGGCUGCCAGGACUGAGUGAGACCGGUCACGCCGAGGGGAGAAAAACUCCAGUCCUGCUUCCUUGGGUGCUGCUCAGGGCUGCCAACCGCAAAUCUACCCACAUCCAUCCAGGCCUGUAGGCUGCUUGCAGCUGGGGCAGGCGGCGCCAGGUGGGAUGCGGGGAGCUGGAUGGGGCACAGCGUGCUGGGAGGGACACGGGGUGCCGGG
ensembl:lncRNA